rnacentral:rRNA from 1 species
UACGAAGGGGGCUAGCGUUGCUCGGAAUUACUGGGCGUAAAGCGUGCGCAGGCGGUUUUGUAAGCCAGAUGUGAAAUCCCCGGGCUUAACCUGGGAAUGGCAUUUGGGACUGCAAGGCUUGAGUGCGGCAGAGGAGACUGGAAUUCCUGGUGUAGCAGUGAAAUGCGUAGAUAUCAGGAGGAACACCGAUGGCGAAGGCAGGUCUCUGGGCUGACACUGACGCUCAUGCACGAAAGCGUGGGGAGCAAACAGG